AGAGGCUGCAAAGACAGAGACAGGAAACCAUCAGAUCUAUUUUGCCAACACAAGAUACACUUUCAUUGGAAGAGCUUUCAGGAAUAGAACAAUCUCCAGAAAUAUUCAGUAAGCCAAAGAAAACCAAAAGAUCACUUGCGUGUUCUCUGGGUCAUAUGCUGUGUUGAAUAUAAUAUUCUCUUACACACAUACGCCAUGCUGUCCAACCAUGGACCAGUCUCUUGGGAUUUCACACUCACUGGGAGAACCGGUCAGGCCCAGCUCAGCUGUUCUGGACUGAAGUUAAAAAGCUUGUGAGUGUUUAAGGUCGACAGUGGUAAAAAUUGGGUUGAAUGGAAGAGACGGAGUGUCCAUUUAGUGAAGAGUGAGCAUCAGGCUUGGCGUGAAAGCCCGGGGCUGGGUGAUGUGACAGAGAGCAAUGGUGUCCAAAUCUGCACUGGCUGCUCACCCAUGAUGGAUGGCAUGGGGCUGGCUACCACACAUCAAUGCCACGUUAAUAAGUACCGCUGAUGAAAUGCUGACAAAGUGCCCUGUAAUUACGGUGGAUGGCAUUCACUGCACACUGAAACUGGCUCCAUCGCUGAGAGGAUUUAACUGAACAGCAGAAGAUGGAGCCUCACCAUGUCACCCAGGUUGGAGUAUGGUGGCACUAUCUCAGUUCACUGCAGCCUCUGCCUCCCGAAUAGCUGAAAGUACAAGUGUGCACCAGCAGGCCUGGCUAAUUUUUGUAUUUUUGGUUGAGAUGGGGUUCCGCCAUGUUGGCUAGGCUGGUCUCAAACUCCUGACCUCAAGUAAUCUGCCCACCUUGGCCGCCCAAAUGUGCUGGGAUUCCAGGCAUGAGCCACACACCCAGCCUCCAAACUUUAAGGAUUGUAAAAGUCAACAGAAAGAUGACUCCCCAGUUCAUGCACAUGGAAACCUAGCAAUGCUUGAGUGCAAAGAAAGGGUCUCGGCAAUGAUACGAGAUCCCACUGAGUGUGUCAGAACAUCCUGGGGCUGCGGAGCAAGUCACUACAAAGGGCCAGGGCCGUUUCCCCUGCAAAAUAACACGGUAUUUUCUAUCAACGUUAAAUCCCCAAACACCUCUGGAACAAAGGGUUUAAUCCUCUUUGAAGAAAGCACCUGAGGCAGAGCUAAAUGCGUCGCCCCACUUCCUCGGGCCUUGCUGCACACAGCUUCUCCACCUCCUGCACCUGGGAAACCCCAGCCGUCCCUCAGACUCUGGCACCACUGUCCCAUCGCAGACAGCAUGUGCCCUCAUGCUGCUCAUGCGGCAUCUGUCUGGCUCCCAGCACUCAGGCUUCCUGGACAAGAGUCCCUGGGAUUGACAAUCACCUCUGCCUUCUGCACCAUGCUCGGCCCUGAAUGACAUGUGCCCUUGAAAACCUCACUCCCUUGCCGCAGUCUGAUGUCUCCAUCUGCAAAAUGAAGAUGAAGAUUCCCAGCUACCAUGGAGGGCUUUGGCGAAGAUUCAAUUAGGGGAAUGCUCUUGUCCACUGGGUUCCAUGGGGCACACGGUGGGCAUUUCAGAAUGACAGCUGCCGUCUCUGACCCCUCAGGAAGCUCCUCUGAUGCAGGCUACCAGGCCAGCUCCUUCUGCCUCUUGAGGCUGCUAUGACGCCCUCAUGCAGCCUGGAAUCUGCAUUGCCAGACUGUGCCUUUGGUGCCAAUCUUUUGGGGGCAGCUUUGGUGGGCACUGCCACCUGGCUAUGCCAGCUGGAGAGUGUAUAAAGGGAGUCUGGCACAAGGUCACCCACUGGGCUGCAGUGGCUGGUGGGCAAAAUGCUCAGCCCAGGAAGUGGUGGAAACCCUUGGUCAUGGAGUCCUAGAAAUCUCUCCCCUGAGCCCUGGGCUUGGGAGAGGAGAACUGGGAGAUAAUUUUUUUAUUUUUAGAGACAGAGUUUCUCUGUUGUUACCCAGGCUGGAGUGCAAUGGCACGAUCUCGGCUCACCACAACCUCCGCCUCCUGGGUUCAGGCAAUUCUCCUGCCUCAGCCUCCCGAGUAGCUGGGACUACAGGUGUGCACCACCAUGCCCAGCUAAUUUUCGUAUUUUUAGUAGAGACGGGGUUUCACCAUAUUGACAAGGAUAGUCUUGAUCUCUUGACCUUGUGAUCCUCCUGCCUCGGCCUCCCAAAGUGCUGGGAUUACAGGCGUGAGCCACCGCGCCCGGCCAAGAACUGGGAGAUAAUUAAGAAGUGAGAAAAAACUAAGAGCACUCUGAAGUGACACAAGAGGAUCAAUUGCUCUUGAGAGUCUGAUGAACACGCUUCUGUUGCCAAAGAUGGUUUCAAAGAUGUGAUGCCUGCGAUGCGCUCAGCGGUGGGAGAUGUCACUAGGCUCUCCAUCUCACUGUGAAGCCCAGAGGCCUACGUGGGAGUGGGCCCUGCUCUGAGCAGCCACCCCAGGAACCCCUGCUGAUGCCCAGCUCUAGAAGGAUCAUUAGGAAACGAUCCCGGAGACUGCGUGGGUCUGCAGGCCGGUCUUGCUCUCUCACCCAGGCUGGAAUGCAGUGGCAUGAUCGCAGCUGACUGUAGCACUGACCUUCGGGCUCAAGCGAUCCUCCCGCCUCAGCCUCGCAAGUAGCUGGGACUACAGGUGACUUCCCUUCCCAGUGGGUCCUACAGAUGAUGGCAGAACAACUCUCCCUGGUACAUGCAUGGAAAACAGCAACCACUGGCCCCUGGAUUGGGUACCUAGCCUGGCACAGAGCAGCCACAGCGCGUGCGGCUGGGGGACCUGACUCGCCCAACGUCACCUCUCUCUGCGUGCACUAACAGGCGUGUGCAAGAUGGAGCCUUGAUCUAUAACUCAGGCUGGAGUGCAGUGGUGUGAUCUCAGCUCACUGUAAUGUCUGCCUCCCAGGUUCAAGCGAUUCUCCUGCCUCAGCCUCUGGAGUAGCUGCGAUUACAGGUACGAGUCACCAUGCCCAGCUAAUUUUUGUAUUUUUAGGAGAGACAGGAUUUCAUCAUGUUGGUCAGGCUGGUCUUGAACUCCUGACCUCAUGAUCCACCUGCCUCGGCCUCCCAAAGUGCUGAGAUUACAGGCCUGGGCCACCAAGCCCAACCAAUAGUUUUUCAGACCUUGCUCCCUCUCUCCCACCUGCCUCUAGUAGUCCUUAGUUUCUACUGCUGCCAUCUUUGUGUCCAUGAAGACCAAUGUGGAGCUCCCUCUUAAGAGAACAUGCAGUAAUCCUGUUUUCUGUUUCUGUGUUAAUUCGCUUAUGAUAAUUGCCUCCAGGUCCAUCCAUGUUGCUGCAAAGGACACGAUCUCAUUCUUUCAUGUCUGUGCGAUAUUCAGUAGUGUGUAUGUACCACAUUUGGAUGCUGUGUAUACACUAUCCGAAUGUAUAUGGAUGGGCACCCAGGUUGACUCCAUGCCUUUGCUAUUGUGAAUAAUGCUGCGACAGACAUGCGAAUGCACGUGUCUUUAUGGGAUGUGUCUUUAUGCAUGUGUCUAUUUCUUUAGGAUAUAUACCCACUAAUGUAACUGCUGUGUUGAAUGGUAAUUCUGUUUUCAGUUCUGAGAAAUCACCAAACUGCUUUUCACAGUGAUUGAAUAACUCACAUUCCCACCAGCAGUGUAUAUCCAUUCUGUUUUCUCUGCAGCCUCACCAGCAUCUGUUGUUUUUUGACUUUUUAAUAACAGCCAUUCUGACUGGUGUGAGAUUGUGAGAUAGUAUCUCGCUGUGAGAUAGUAUCUUGCAUUUCUCUAAUGAUUGGUGCUGUUGAAUAUUUCUUCAUGUUUGUUGACCCGUCAUUACAAGUUAUUGUCAUAAGACUCUUCUCCAGUUACAAGAGAUUCAGGAGACUAGAAUUCAAUGGAUAUUAACACAGUGUCAAGAGACAUUAAAACAUAGGUUUUGAGGUGCUUCAUUUUGAGUUCUUGCUUUUACUCCUUAGAUCUUAGAUGUUGGGCUCGAAUUCAAAAUGAGUUUGAAACCCAGUUCUGCUUCUCAGUCUAAGGCCUCAGACCCAGGCUCCCUGUUUGUGAAAAGAGAUGACCCACAACUAGGUAUUGUUCUAGGUACGACUUUAGGACAUGCUGGGUGGUCAUGUCUGCUACACAUGGUUUAUUGAGUCCCGUCUAUAACCAAUCCCCUGUCCUCUAGCUCAGGAUAUCAGGUCCCUGCAGGAGGCUAAGCUUGCGUGUGUGUACACGUGUGUUUAAGUGUGAGCAGAAUCAACAGAAUCAAUAAUGCAAUGGCUGGUAGAGAGCUGAAGGGCUGAAGCCAUCAUCGCAGCUUAAUGCCAGUUACUUCCCUUUCUGGUCCCACUGCCCUGACCUCUUCUACCUCUGUGGCUGCCCAUCACUCUUCACCCAUUGGAAAUCCAAUCCCUCCUCCUGAGAGCCCAGCUCUAGUUAUCUCAGCUAUUUCUGUGAAUCCUCCCUCUGAACUCCAACUUUCCAGUCUGCCAGGUGGUCCGGAAUGACCCUCGUGCCCCAGCAUCCCAGGGGUAUGAUACCCUCCUGUCACUUACAUUGGCUCACUACUGCAUCCCUGGAGCAGGAGGGCGCUGGUGUAGUUUGAAAAGUUCCUGAUCCUCUAAUGCCACACUUCUCUUAUUCACUUAUCGUGUUCUAAAAAUGCGUUGACUUCACUCUCUGAAAUACUGGCUAUCUGUGCACACUCUUCUAUUAGGUGGAGAUUAUGAAGGCAAAGACAACAUCUUAUAAAUCUCUGUCCACACAGCCUGGCCCUAUGCAUGCAAGGUAUGUUUAAUAGGUAAUUGCUCAUGGGCUGAUUGAUUAAAAAAGGCUCAGACUGACUCCCGUCACAGGUUCCUAAGAAGAAAUAUACCAUGAAACUGAAGGCUACAGCUGGCUUCCUAAUUAAUAGUAGUCACUUGGCAGUUCUUAAUUAAGAACUCUAAGACAAAGACCCACCUUUCCACCGUGCCAAACGGGUAUCACCUUCAUUAGUAUUUCAGUGAUGUAACCACAACUGCAUUUUUAUGCUCUUUUCUCUGCCCUGCCAGAUGGGAACAUUAGCGGCAUAGUAUUUAUUAAUAAACAAAGACAAGUGCAGAAGGUUGGGUCAAUUCAGGCAGAAUCCAUCCCUUGUAGUCGUUUACUGCAAGCUUUACAUAGAAGCUGAAGGAAGCCUUCUCUUGUCCUGCUCCUGAGAGGAAGUGAUCCAGGCUGGACUUGGCAAGCAGCCUCGGUCUCCCAGGCACCGACUGUGAAGAGCUUCUGUCUCAUGGGGUCUGGUGUGUCCUCACCAGGCAUCUCCCCACCCACUCUCAUGAUACCCCGAGGCUCACCUACACCUGCCUCAUGAAAACAGUGGGGUUCAGAUGUUUUAAAUGAGAAAAGACCUCAAAAGAACAAUGUCACUAUCCUUCUCAAGAUGGUCACGCAUCAUUGAAAGCAGCAAAGCAGGGUUUCUGUGACAGCAGGGUCCCCUGUACAUCCCCAUCGUGAGUCCCACGACACUUCUCCCGCUCUGUUUAUAAGCCUCAACCAUGACUUGCUAAGGCUGCAGCCUUCUUCAAGGCCCUGAAAUAGGCAUCACUGAGUGACUUGCAUCAAUGUCCUGGUAAGUGUCCCCUGUCACUCUCAAAAAUGUCCUGGCUGGCCAAUAAAUUAUUUGCUCACCUUAUCAGGCUAUGAGAAAGAACGUGGAGGGAAAUCACAAAGAGGUGGGCGGACGGCAUCAGCAGCUUAUAUACACCCAUCCUCUUGAGGGCCCAUUCUGGUCUAAGGGGUAGAAGCAAGAGGUUGGGCUUUGAAGUCAAAAUGAGCUUGAAAUCCAGUUCUGCUUCUCAGAGGUUGGUUAACUUGGAAAAGGACUCAGACUCAGGCUUCCUAUCUGUGACAAGGGAUUGCCCGCAACUAACCACAUGGCCAGGCUGUGAACAUGCAUCAAAUGCAAAGCCCCAGGGCAUGGUAUUACAGAGGGCAAGUGAUGGGACGGGUGCUCAGUGCAUGCCAAUCAAUCCUUUUUUCUUUUAAGAGACGAGGUCCCUCUUGUCCCUUCUGUUGUCUAGGCUACAGUGUUCUGGUGUGAUCAGGGCCCACUGCAGCCUCAACCUCCCAGGCAAAGCGAUUCUCACACCUCAGCCUCCUGGUAGCUGGGACUAUAGGUGUAUGCCACCACAUCCAGCUAAUUUGCUAUUUUACAUUUACAAGGUCUCCCUUUGUUGUCCAGGCUGGUCUUGAACCCCUGGGUUCAAGUGAUCCUCCCACCUAAGCCUCCUGAGGAGCUGGGGCCACAGGUACAUGCCACCACACCUGGAUAACUUGGUUUUUUUCAAUGUUUUGUAGAGACAGAGUCUCCUUAUAUCACCCAGGCUGGUCUUGAACUCUGGGCUUCCCAGAGUGCUGGGAUUAUGGGCAUGCGCCACUGUGCCUGAUCAGUCAUUUUCCUUUUAACAAGCACAACUUUUAAAAAAGAAUCCAGUAAGCCUACUUGGGCUCUUCUGUGGCCUGUCUUGAUGCUCUGGGGAGGAUGGAACAGUGGGUUAAAUGCAAAAAUUCUGGGGUCGGACAUCAGAGUCUGAAUCCCAACCCUGUUACCUCCUAGCUCUGUGUCUCUGAGGAAACUACUGAAGCUUCAUUGCCACAUCUGAAAAGGAGGAAUGAAAAUCACAGUAGCCCCCUUGUCUCAUGGGGUGGAACCUCUUCCUCGUAGACUUUUGGAAAUCUAUAGGGCAGUUCAUGGUUGACCUCACAAGUGGGCGAUUCCCCUGGUAUUUAUUGAAUGACGGUUUGGAUGCCAGCUGUCUUUCAUUAGCAAGCCAGGUCGGAGUACUGGGAGUGGUCUCCCAGGAUGCAUGCCUUCUCAGUGUCCCAGUGGGGAUUCGUGGAAGGGAACACUCUGUUUACAACUAUUUGAGCCUAGAACCUGAAUCUGUUUUAUAUGUGAAUACAAAGCAUUUUCUGCCCAAUAACAAUCAAUACUGGAUAUUCCAGAAGUGCAAUUCAUGUGCAAGUCAAGGUGAGACUGAAUUUGGGGUUUGGGGGCAGCUUUUCUGAGGAGUAUUCACCAGUUUAUAAUAUCACAUGACUGACAGGAAGACCAGUUCUAGUGUGAGAAGCUAGAACAUCACUUCUCUAUCAGUCUGCAGUUACAGCUGUGAGAUUUGCAGGAUUUCUAUGCACAGAUGCAAAUGUCUAUUACCUCCCCGCAGUACAGCCAGAAACAGGAAUUUAAAUAUCGAAUGUAUUCAAUAGUUAAUUCCAUUACCUUUAUUUCUCCAUCAUGUUAUAAUUGGGGAAUUAUAAUGAUUUUUAAAACAAUUAUGUGUAGAGCAGGUUACGUUAGCUACAAGAUCUAUUUCAGGAUUUUAGUGGCAUGACAAAAAUGUCUGUAACAAAGGAUCUGAGAGGUUGCAGAAUCUUUCUCAUAGGGUGAAGAUUAAGAAAUAACUGAAUUAUUAGUCGGGUGUGGUAGCUCACACCUGUAAUCCCAGCACUUUGGGAGGCCAGGGCAGGUGGAUCUCCUGAGGUCAAGAGUUCGAGACACUCCUGACCAACAUGGUGACACCCUGUCUCUACUAAAUACAAACAGUUACCCAGGCAUGGUGGCAUGGCAACUUGGGAGGCUAAGCAGGAAAAUCGCUUAAACCCGGAAGGUGGAGGCUGCAGUGAGCCAAGACUGCGCCACUGCACUCCAGCCUGGGCAACAAAAGUGAAACGCUAUCUUAAAAAAAAAAAAAAAGUAACUGAAUUACGGCACUGACUGCAGAGUCCAGCACAUAGAGAGAGAAGCAAGCGCCUAAGAAAUGUCGGCUUUUCUGAUGAUCAUUAAUAUUAUCAGUUGCCACUCUUUCUGCCUCCUGUUGCUUGACUAACUGCUAGUAGAAAAUAAAAUUUACUUUCUGCUUCUCCAGUUCCUCCAUCCAGAGGUGAGACCAGCGACGUUGAAGGGCACUCUUCCUUGAGUCGGAGGGAGACUAAUAACGUAUGGCAAACCGCCCAGAAGGGAGAGAGAUUUUUCCAAAUAGCUCUGACACUCACAGAAGUUUUUGUGAAGAUGAAAUCUCACCAUGUUGAUCAGACUGGUCUCAAACUCCUGGGCUCAAGUGAUCCUCCUGCCUCGGCCUCUCAAAGUGCCAGGAUUACAACAGGUCAAGCCACCUCACCUGACCUUUGUUUACUUAUUCAUUAAAGAUUACUCUAGAAUGCAUGCCUGGAAUAUUGCCUGUAGCAUAUCAUACAUGUUGCUAAAAAGACACCCAUUUCAUAACUGCACGAAAUCAUUAGGAUGUCUCCAUCAUGUUCUUUUCUCUGUGUUCUUUCUCCACCGAUAUUUUAUCUCCUUCCUCCUCUUUUGACAAACUCACAAUAGAUUAUCAGCCCUUCUAAUGAUCAAGGGUCUGUUAGCCUCUUUCUUAUUUGUCUCAAUGAGAGCUGAUGACAGCAACGGUCUUGCGUCACACAGCUCCAUGAAGUAUCUGCCUGCCUUCAUCUCUGUACCUCAUUAAUGGAGCUGUUGAUGGGUAGGAGGGAAAUAAUGCUCAGAGCCAGCAUUAGCACAGCUGACUCCCAGACUGUCUCUUUGUGAGCCUGGCAGCUUUGUUCACACCAUGACCCCACGCUACAGGUGCAUUUCAUGAUUCCUUCUGCAGUGGUCAUGAUCCAUUUAAUUGAAAAUAAUUCUUCCUGGGGGGUACUUGCUAGAAAGGCUUCACAAACCCAGGACACAGUAUGAAGUCAAAUUAGAUAAUCAAACUCAGAUAUUCUGAGAACACCUCCCAAAUGUCAUCUCCCAUUUAAUCAAUGCCAGACUUUUUGCUUUGUGUGGAAAUAGCCAAGCUCAAUCCCCUCUCUGACAGAAAGUAACAACAAAUUAGCCACUUCUCUAAACCUUCUCCCCACUAGCAUGGGUUUGGGGAGCUCUCACUCAGGUCUCAGUUAACUCGGUCCAAGUUUCCUGGCUUCAUCUGCAUUGUUUUCAGCUUAAAAACAUUUCUUUCUUAUUUUAUGGUUUUUCAUUUUUCUCAAAAACAAACAACAUCGACGCAUUUGAGUUUCAGGGUCUCCAAGGUUCCAAUCAUAAUUAGCUUCCAAGUGUCUGCUAGCAAACCACCUCUAAUAAUUAAUUUGGCCAUCACAGAGAAAACUGCCAUGUUUCACAGGAGAGACGAGAAGCCACGCUCUUGCCUGAGAGCUGCAGUGUCAUCACUGGUGGGGAUGGUUCCGAGCCUGACUCCAGAGGGAAGAAUUCAGGGCACUGAGAUGAUUUAAGCCACAAAUAAGCCCAGGAUGCACUGGGGCUGUGGCCUGUUAGCAAGGCAGGGACACAGCCACACCUCAGAGAGUGGGCUUGUUCGGCGGCGGCCAUCAUCGGGACCUUGGCCAUGUGUUUCCAGGAGCUUCACCAGGAGAGGAAAUGCAUGACUUUCGCCGUGACAAAAAAUCAAGAUCACACAAUGGGAGGGGGAUCCCUGUACUGGGCCCUAAAACAUCUUUAAACUCCAACAGGGCCACUUGACUUCAAAACAACUCCCUAAGUUUUACCAAUUUCAUUUUAAAAGUGAAAAGUAUCACUCAAUAAUUAUGCUUACAAGCCAGAAAAGAAAAAAAAAAAGGAUAUCAGAGUGACGAUGACAGAGUGACGAUGCAUGGUGGGCCCAAGAGUCCUUCCUUGCCCGACUUCCCCGCCCCUAAGGAGUGCACGCUGCUUGUUCCCAUUCUCACAUCCUGCACCAGCCACAGAUAAGGCCAGCACAGAGUGGGAACCCCAGAAUGUUGAUUUCAUCCAUUUUUGAUCUUGGUCACAGAAAUGGGGGAAAAGGGGACCCGAACUGACGUCUGUGGCAAAUGUGAUUGAUUCUGGAAACGUCCAGAGGGCUGGAGUUCAGCAAAUUAGCUGUGGUCUUGACUGACAAGCUCUUUGGUGUCCUCUCUCAGCAUGGGCCCUGCCCCAGAAAGCAGGUAUGGGAAUGACCCACUGCCUGUGUCUGUCAUCGAACCAUCAUACAGCAGCACUUGCAUCGGUAUUUUUAUCUUCUAAAGACAAUGGGAAAAAAAUGACCUCACAGGUUUUUUUCAAAAAAGUUUCUGUCUUCCCUGGUACACAAAUGAGAUCAAUCAAAGUAAACCUCUAUUAAACAAUAAACAAUUGACCAGAUUUAGAAUUCUCCAUAAACUACAGCAAACAAUCAGUUCUCAAACGGGAUGGAUACACUAUUGAAAAAAACAAGGCCUUUUACAACUCUUUGAUCUGGUCUCCACGCAGUAUUCUCCAGUUGGAGGCAAGAGAUACCUCCUUGGCUUAUUUGUAAUAAGGUGAACAUGUCUUAGAAACCCUGAGAGGCUUUUUAAAAAUAAGCCCCUAUUUAUGAUUCAAAGAUAUCCACCGCUCUGUAAGUUACGGUUGAAAGCUGGCAAACUGCUGUGCCCCUGCUUCCUAUCCAACCACCAUGCCCCACGACACCCAAUUUUCCAUGAAUUCUUUCCACAGCAAACUGCUCAGUUCUACACAAACUCUUCUGUAAGAAUCCUAAAGAAAAGCCAGGUGUGGUGGCUCAUGCCUAUAAUCCCAGCACUUUGGGAGGCCGAGAUGGGCAGACCCCUUGAGCUCAGGGGUUCGAGACCAACCUGAGCAACAUGGUAAAAUCCUGUCUCUACCAAGAAUAUGAAAAAACAAAGCUGGGUGUGGAGGUACACAUCUGUACAGGUCCUAGCUUCUAGGGAGGCUGAGGUGGGAGGAUCUCUUAAGCCUGGGAAGCAGAGAUUGCAGUGAGCCAAGAUCAUGCCACUGCACUCCAGCCUGAGUGAGACCCCAUCUCAAAAAACCCCUGAAGACAAAUAUAAAUGCAGAUGGUCCUACUGGUUGGUUAUUUAUAGUCUGUUUAGACUAGUUUCUCAGCCUUGGCACUGAGAUGUUCUGGGUCAAAUCAUUCUUUGUUUUGAAAAUGAUUUGACCCUCAGAGAAGUCCUGUGUAGGGUCUUUAGCAGCACCCCCUGGCCAUUACCUGCUGGAUAUCAAUAGCACCCCAACAUCAGCUGUGGGAACCAGUGUUUCCAGACAGCACCAAGGGUCCCCAGGGGGAGUGGGGGAUGGUAUAAAAUUGCCCUGGCUGGGAAUCAUUGCUUUAGAUUACAAAUAAACGGAUCUUUGGGUAGCUAUGGAGAACAUAAUCCAAAGGAACGUGGAAAAAGAGUUGUCUCUAUAGAUCAAGCUAAAAAUCAGCGCAGCUUAAGAUACAAUGGCCCCUGGGUAGGAAAAAAGUUAUGCUGUGCCUCCAAGAAAGAAGAGAAAUAAAAUGCUUAUUGUGCUCAACACCCAUCCCCACCCAGGGAGAGAAACAAAACCAUCCAGAGCUGCUACCCUGAUGCUAGCUUUAGAGUCUUUCCUCUUAUCACAGAAGAAAGGUUAUUCAGCACUGGUGAGGCUGAGUCCUCAGAGAACGUUCUGAAAUGCUUGAGUCCCAUACGGUGAAUAUGUUGAGGUGGUGAGUCCCAGGUCACUGGGGGUAUUUAAGCGGAGACCAGAUGACAACCAGCUCAGGGAGGCCGUGAAAAGGACUCCACACAGGGCAGGAGUUUGGCCUAACUGACAUCUACUGUCUUAACGCCAUGAUUCCAUGGGCUUCUGUGAGCCUCUGAAUGCUCACACUCCCAGAGUCCCUUCCAAGAAGGCUGUGACAAGCAGAGGGCAUUCGUCCUGCCCUGAGUGGGUCAGGACCUCCCAACCCCAGGAGCCCGAGGAGUGACCAACACUGAGUGGACGUUGACCUCCACCACCAAUCACCACCUGGUGUGGGGCUAUCUCCAACUGCUUUUCCCCUCCCCAUUCCUAAUCCUCAUUAGCCCGAAAGACAAAUUACAGCAGUGCACAGUCUCACACUGAUGCUCAAUCUGUCUUUUCUAGCAUCCUCUAUUUAUCAGACGGCUUCCACCAAGUGAACCAUGACUCCUCAGUCUUUGCCCAAGUGCACCUUCACUAGGCAGGGCUCAAGUUUGAGAAACAGCUAGAAGAUAACAGAGAAAGAUCUGCAGCCACACGUAAGAUACAUUCACAGAGAAGAGCUAGCGCAGAGAUGGCACUGGGGCUCUGGAUCCUGUCUGGUGGGAGAAAACAGAAAUGUCUUCUCUCCUGGCUAACAAAACACUUGCACGGCAGUACAGCAAAAGAAACAGAGGCAAAUAUUUUGUGACUGGCUUCAGAACAAGCCUGAACAAUCUAAACAGUGGAUGUGCAUGCAUUUUUUCCUCAAACCAUCCAAAUGCAUUUCCUGGUAUCUGCUGUAAUUAAAACAGAAUUGGAGCUAUUCAUACAUAUCUACAUUUUUUUUUUUGAGAUGGAGUUUUGCUCUUGUUUCCCAGGGUGGAGUUCAAUAGUGCGAUCUCAGCUCACUGCAACCUCCACCUCCUGGGUUCAAGCGAUUCUCCUGCCUCAGCCUCCUGAGUAGCUGGGAUUACAGGCGUGCACCACCACGCUCAGCUAAUUUUGUAUUUUUAGAGAGACAGGGCUUCUCCAUGUUGCUCAGGCUAGUCCUGAACUCCCAACGUCAGGUGAUCUACCCACCUCGGCCUCCCAAAGUGCUGGGAUUACAUAUAUGAGCCACCACGCCCGGCAUAUCUAACUUUUUACAAAAGAGUAGAGUCCUGUAUCACCUUACAAUGUUUUUUUUUUGAAAGCAUAUGUGAUUUUCACAAAAAAUAUGUGCUUUGUAGGAGCCUCAUCCUUUUGCCUCUGCAUCUUAUGUUCUAGAUUUUUUUCUCACUACGUCUAGUACAUCAAAUGCUACUCAACUCCCAUGGAAUAAAAAUGUACACAGAAGUGGCUUUCGGUCCAUUACCAUGUGGCAGAAUUCUAUCAAAAAUCAAAGAAUGUGGGGUCCAGAAGGGACCUUACAGGUCACGUAUUUACCUCAGUUACCUAUGGACAUUGAGACCACGCAUGUUCAGAGAUGUUCCUAAGAUUUAGCUUAGACUAAGUAGAAAUGGUAGAAAUGGACUUUCUAUAGUGAUAGAAAUUCUAUUUAAAAUUCUAACAUCUGCAUUUCUAUUUCUCAUUUAUUAUAGCAAAUUUUCUACCUUAACGGGUGAAACAUUUGCAGAACAACCACUUCAGAAAAGUGUUUGGCAUUUUCUUACCAAGUUAAUAUAUACCUAUUCUAUGAUCCAGCGAUUUGGCUUCUGGGAAGAAAACGGACAUCCAUAAAUGAAUGUUGGCAGCAGCUGUAUUCGUAACAGCCUCCAAAUGGAAAUAAGAGUCACACCCAAUAAUAGGCAAGUGACUACACAAAUCAUGGUGUAUAUAUAUACGUGUGUGUGUGCGUGUGUGUAUGUGUGCGAUGGAUAUUGGCCACUUUUGCCAACAUCCAGGCCAAAUUCUCCUGAUGCAGCAAUGAGAAGAGAACGUUCAAUUUUCUUGAAUUAUCACCUCUUGAAUUAUCUUUCUACCUCUCUUCUUCGGUUCAUUCUCUAUCCCUCUGCUAGGCAACUAUACUAUUUCACAUCCUUUUCUCUCUCUGCUCUUGUUGCCUGGGCUGCAGAGCAAUGGUGCGAUCUCGGCUCACUGCAACCUCUGCCUCCCGGGUUCAAGCGAUUCUCCUGCCUCAGCCUCCCAAGUAGCUGGGACUACAGGCAUGUGCCACCAUGCUCGGCUAAUUUUGUAUUUUUAGUAGAGAUGGGGUUUCCCUACUAAAACUCUAUAAUAUGAUAAUAUUUUCUCCUCCAUCCUCCCUCUCAGCUGGCUGAUAACCCUGCUUCCUAUUUCACUGAGAAAACUGAAACACUCCAAAGAGAACUUCCAUCUGGUCCCGACUCUAGCUUACCAGCCUACCAUCCUGGUACUAUACACUCUGCCUUUUCCCCUGUGACUGGGACUCUGGCCAAGACCAGCCCCUCCGCUGGCAUUCAAGAUCCCAGUCCCUUUUCCCUGCACAAUGAUACUGCCCCAGCAACUGGCCCUGUCUCCUACAUCAUUUUCCCCACUCUGCUAGCCACCCGCAUUAACAAAAGAUACACCGUGCUACUGCCUGUCUUAAAAACACCAUUCCUUAAGCCAACGUCCUCUUCCAGCAAUUGCAGUUUCUUUGCCUUCACUUGGAGUAAACGCUUCAAGGACUUACCCAUGUUGUACCCACGGCGGCUAAACCUCUAGCCCCAUUACGUUUCCAAAGCAGGCUCCUGACCUUGCUAACACCUCUGCAUCCUCAACUCCGGAGGCAGCUUCUCCCUCUCAUGUUACUCCAGUCACCAACAGUAGUGGGCAAAGAAAACAACCUUCACCUUCUGGAGAUACUCAACUCCCUUGUUUCCGGGACACUGCGCCCACUUGGUUUUCUUGCUAACUAGCUGCUCCUUCUCAUUGUCCUGUGCUAGUCUCUCCUGUUGCUGGUGCCUCCGGGAUCGGCAUGUGAAGUUCUCUUUUUAUACUCACUCACUGAAUGAUCUCUUCCAGACUCAUGACUAUCAACCAACAACACGUCUCUCUCUCCAGCCAAGAUAUCCAUCCUGCCUCCAGAUGCCUGGAGCCACCUGCCUUCUGAGUAUUUCCACCUAGAUAGCUGGAGGCAGCUCACCUUUAACUAUCCCCAAACUGCCCCCUCCUUCAAAUCUGUUCCACUCUGAGUAGUGCCCCAUCUUAGUAAUGCCAACAUCAUUCUUCAAGUUGCUCAGCUACAAUGUAAAGUCAGCCCUGACUCUUCUCUUUCUCUCUCAUCCAAUUCUUUGCCAAGCUCUGCCAGCCUCUCCCCCUUCGAAUAAACACCUAGCACUGUACGACUUCUCAUCUCACCUGUGGUUGCCAGUCUGGGCCAAGCCACCUUCAGCUCUUGCCUGGAUGACUGCAACUGCCUCCUGUUUUCUCUGCUUCCCUUUUGACCUCUUUGUAGCAGUGAUCCUUUUAAAAAGAUUCCUCUGAUCUUGUCAUGCUUUUGCUUAAAACACACCAAUGCUUUCUGGUCUCCUUGUGAAGAAAGGCGAGACUCCUUAAAAUGGUGCAAGAGACCUCCUGUGUGAUCUGUCCCCAGCUCUUCUGUGCGAGCCUGCUCCUCCCUGGGUGGGAGCACGUGCCAAUCCCACUGUCUGAAACAUUCUUUCUCUAAAUUUCUGCACAUCCUUCAGAUCUCUCAGGUCUUCUUGGAUCACUGCAAGUGUGCAGUCUCCUCCCCCGACAUCUCCCACCUCUCACAUUCUAUUCACCCACCAUCGGACACAAUACACAGCCAUCUGUUCACUCUCUUCCCCACUAGACUCCAAACUGCAUGAGGACAGGGAUUGUACAUUUUAUUCCCUUUUGUAAGAAACAGGCACUAUAGGCCGGGUGCGGUGGCUCACGCCUGUAAUCCCAGCACUUUGGGAGGCCAAGGCGGGUGGAUCACAAGGUCGAGAGAUCGAGACCAUCCUGGUCAACAUGGUGAAACCCCGUCUCUACUAAAAAAAUACAAAAAAUUAGCUGGGCAUGGUGGCAUGUGCUUGUAAUCCCAACUACUCAGGAGGCUGAGGCAGGAGAAUUGCCUGAACCCAGGAGGCAGAGGUUGUGGUAAGCCAAGAUCGCGCCAUUGCACUCCAGCCUGGGUAACAGCAAAACUCUGUCUCAAAAACAAAACAAAAAAAAGAAACAGGCAGUAUAAGUAUUGGAUGAAUAAAUAAAUGAAUAAUAAAAGGACUGCUAUGCUUGUACUGAGUGGAACAUGUUCAUUUUUUUCCUGCAAACAAAGCAUUACAACAAACUACAUUUUUUUUCUUCUUUUUAUGGGACAGAGUCUCACUCUUGUUGCCCAGGCUGGAGUGCAAUGGUGUAAUCUCAGCUCACUGCAACCUCUGCCUGCUGGAUUCAAGUGAUUCUCCUGUGUCAACCUCCUUUACAGGCAUGAGCCACUGUGCCCAGUCUGACAAACUACAUUAUUAACAAAGUAGCCAGCUGAGGCCACUGCUUUAGAGCUCUAUGUUCUCCAAGCCGCCAUAAGCAGUUUCAAUGGCACUAAAUCAAACCAUGAAGAAAUUCAAUCUUGCCUCUACAUGAAAUAAAAAUAGAACCUUUAUGUUAUCCAAAGUUAUUUGUUAACUCAGUAAACGUUCAUGAAUAUGCCACUGUGAGUAUAAACUAGAAAGACAGGAGGAAUGUUGGAGCCUGAAGGGGUUUUACGCAGGACAUGCCAUCUACCAACCUGUGCAUCGGCGAAUUCGCAGUGAACCUCGCUCCCGCAGCCUGACUCCCUGUUUUGUUUUUUUGUUAUGUUUUGUUUUGAGAUAGAGUCUUGCUCUGUCGCCCAGGCUCCCAGACUGGAGUGCAGCGGUGCGAUCUCGGCUCACUACAACCUCUGCCGCCUGGGUUCAAGCGAUUCUCCUGCCUUAGCCUUCCGAGUAGCUAGGAUUACAGGCGCCCUCCUCCACACCCGACUAAUUGUUGUAUUUUUAGUCAAGACAGCAUUUCAGCAUGUUGGCCAGGCUGGUCUUGAACUCCUGACCUUGUGAUCUACCUGUCUCAGCCUCCCAAAGUGCUGGGAUUAUACGCAUGAGCCACUGCGUCUGGCUGUUUGGUUCUCUAAUACACCUUAAGACAAUUCUGGAAAAGCAGAGUGUAGAAAACAGAGGGAACGCACAGAUAGUGACAGGUCCCCAUUCUAAGGAGAAGCCAUUCUAGGCGUUAUAGUAAGAGUAUUUAGAUGACUGCGUAAACAUGACUAGUAAAGCCACUUAAAAUGAGAACUCAGACCAAGUGUCAACUAAUGGCAAUUUUCUGCAAUUAGGAAUAUGGAUCCUCAAAAAAAGUGAUUUCCUAGCAGAGAGGAGAGUUGGAUAGGAAGAAAAAAGGAACACAAGUAACAGUAUCCGGAUCUCUGGACUCUCAACAAUUAAAGGAUAGGCACAUCAUUUCUUUCACACCGUUUCCAAAAAUAUCAAAGGAGGAAAAAGCCAUCGCGUGUGGCAUUUUUAUGGUACUUUCUAGCUUGUAAAUCCUCUGAACAUACAUUAUCUUUUCUACCCUGAUAAAAUUUGUGUGGUAGUCAGAAGAGUGUAGCUCCGUACUUUUUCAUAUAUUUUGACUUAGAUUUAUAUAUUUUAUAGACAAAGAACUGGAAGUUAAGCUACUCUUCCAAAAAAGGGUUCCAUGGUCAAUUAAGUUUGGGAAAUGCCGCAAGCUGGGUCGGCUCCCUGGACACUGAACGAUGUACAAUAGCGUAUCAGAGAACAGUCUCACCAAGGUUUCCAGCUCACUGGAACAUAACGCCUUUUUUUCAUGUGUGUGUAGAACAUUUUAACAACUUUGUAUUUUAUGCAGAUUAUCCCUGCCUAAGGAUUCUCCAAUAUCACACAUCGUGGCCUCAAAAGACUUUACAGAACUGAAAGCCCAGUGGGUUUCUGAGAUAAAAAAAAUCCUUCAAAAAAUGACAAGUAUAAACUAGCACACAUCUGCUGUAAAGGAGUCAAUCACCGACUGUUAGUUUCUUUGCUUCUGCACAAGGACAGGGGCCCUGAGGUGUCCUCACAGGGCGCUCUGGGAGAGGUUCCUUUUGGAUGAGAUGAGACUGUGUUCUCGGAGAUGGUAAUGGAUGCCCAGGGGCUAGGAUAUACAGAGGCUUUGCAAACCCUAAGCUAAACCAUGACACACAUGCCAUUAAAAUACACACAACUCAAUCCGGUCCCCAGAACAGCUUCUGACAUGCGAGGAAGCCUAGAGGGAAUGGGGGGUGCCCGGAGGAGGGCAGCGCUAGACGAGAAAAUUCCACAAUAGAGCAUUAACUCAAACGCCUUAUGGUUUUCACAACUUAAAGAAUGGAUGUAGACUUCAGAGGAUAAUUCAUGCUUAUUAAAUAUGUGUGAAAUUACUGUGAUUCAUCUUCCUCCUGUGUUUUAAAUGACUUUGUAAAACCCAGACUUGGCAUCCACAGAAAUAACAUAAUGCAGUAUAAAAUGAUCUCAUUAUUAUAAGUAUCCUUUAAUGCAAAACAAUCUCGGACAGUUACUUGCUUGUGAUCCUGAAGGACUUCUUUCCUAUUGGCGAGUAGUAAUGUAUGGGGCAAAUUAUUUCUUGGAUAUCAUGUAAAUGGAACUUCUGAACUCAUUACAGAUAAAUUAUUAAGUUAUAAAAGACCACUGCUAAUAAAACUGAGGCUACAGUGAGAAGUGUGAUUAAAAUCGCACAUGACUCUGACCUAUUAAACAAUAACGUAUUAAUCCAUAAAACUGUAAACAGCUUAUCCCGUUUCUAUAAUUAAAAUAUGCUUCGCUACUAA